UGACCAAGACCAACCUGUCGGUGCAUGAGGACAAGAACCGCGUCCCCUAUGUCAAGGGCUGCACCGAGCGCUUUGUGUCCAGCCCCGAAGAGAUCCUGGAUGUCAUCGACGAGGGGAAGUCCAACCGGCACGUGGCUGUCACCAACAUGAACGAGCACAGCUCCCGCAGCCACAGCAUCUUCCUCAUCAACAUCAAGCAGGAGAACGUGGAGACGGAGCAGAAGCUCAGCGGGAAGCUCUACUUGGUCGACCUGGCUGGGAGUGAGAAGGUCAGCAAGACGGGUGCAGAGGGAGCGGUGCUGGACGAGGCCAAGAACAUCAACAAGUCGCUCUCAGCGCUGGGCAACGUCAUCUCGGCGCUGGCAGAGGGCAC